AUUGAACGCUGGCGGCAUGCCUAACACAUGCAAGUCGAGCGGAGCGGCGGACGGGUGAGUAAUGUCUAGGAAUGUGACUGGUAGCGGGGGAUAACGACGGGAAACGGGCGCUAAUACCGCAUACUAUUAGAUGAGCCGAGGUCGGAUUAGCUAGUUGGUGGGGUAACGGCCUACCAAGGCGACGAUCCGUAACUGGUCUGAGAGGAUGAUCAGUCACACUGGAACUGAGACACGGUCCAGACUCCUACGGGAGGCAGCAGUGGGGAAUAUUGGACAAUGGGCGAAAGCCUGAUCCAGCCAUGCCGCGUGUGUGAUGAAGGUCUUCGGAUUGUAAAGCACUUUAAGUUGGAAGGCGUUACCUACAGAAUAAGCACCGGCUAACUUCGUGCCAGCAGCCGCGGUAAUUC
rnacentral:rRNA from 1 species